CACGUAGGGGGCGAGCGUUGUCCGGAUUUAUUGGGCGUAAAGAGCUCGUAGGCGGCUUUGUCAGUCGGGUGUGAAACCUCCAGGCUCAACCUGGAGCCGCCACCCGAUACUGCAAUAGCUAGAGUCCGGUAGGGGAGCAUGGAACUCCUGGUGUAGCGGUGAAAUGCGCAGAUAUCAGGAAGAACACCAGUGGCGAAGGCGGUGCUCUGGGCCGGAACUGACGCUGAGGAGCGAAAGCGUGGGGAGCAAA
rnacentral:rRNA from 1 species